rnacentral:rRNA from 1 species
GACGAACGCUGGCGGCGUGCUUAACACAUGCAAGUCGAACGGAAAAGCCCCCUUGUGGGGUAAUCGAGAGGCGCACGGGUGGGUAACACGAGAGUAACCUACCCUGGACUUUGGGGUAACUUCAGAAAACGGGGGCUAUUACAGGAUAGGAGAUCAUGCUGCAUCAUGGGGGUUGGGAAGGAUCGGCGGUUUGGGAUGAACUCGCGGCUUAUCAGCGUGUUGGUGGGGUAGUGGCUCACCAAGGCCUCGACGGGGAGCCGGCCUGAGAGUGUGACCGGCCACAUUGGGAUUGAGAUACGGCCCGGACUCCUACGGGAGGAAGCAGUGGGGAUUAUUGCACAAUGGGCGGAAUGCUGAUGCAGCAACUCCGCGUGCUGGAUGACGGCCUUCGGGUUGUAACCCGCUUUCGCCUGUGAAGAUGCGUGAGUGACGGUAAUGGGUAAAGAAGCAACGGCUAACUACGUG